rnacentral:rRNA from 1 species
GGGGAAUAUUGCGCAAUGGAGGAAACCCUGAUGCAGCAACGCCGCGUGAGUGAUGACGGCCUUCGGGUUGUAAAGCUCUGUCUUCAGGGACGAUAAUGACGGUACCUGAGGAGGAAGCUCCGGCUAACUAC